UUCCAGCUGAUCUACCACAUGGUGUGAGGUGGUCACAUGAGUUGCAGUGCGAUAUGGGAAUAUGCUGCAUCCCGUGUGACCUCCCUACACGGUGCUGUGUCUCUCCGUCUGGAG